AGAGCGAACGCUGGCGGCAUGCUUAACACAUGCAAGUCGCACGGCCGGGCAACCGGCAGUGGCGGACGGGUGAGUAACGCGUAGGUAUCUAUCCUUGGGUGGGGGACAACUGUGGGAAACUACAGCUAAUACCGCAUGAUGACUGAGGUCCAAAGCUCGUCCGGGGCAACUCGGGGGAGCGCCUGGGGAGGAGCCUGCGUACGAUUAGCUAGUUGGUGGGGUAAAGGCCUACCAAGGCGACGAUCGUUAGCUGGUCUGAGAGGAUGAUCAGCCACAUUGGGACUGAGACACGGCCCAAACUCCUACGGGAGGCAGCAGUGGGGAAUAUUGGACAAUGGGCGCAAGCCUGAUCCAGCAAUGCCGCGUGUGUGAAGAAGGUCUUCGGAUUGUAAAGCACUUUCGACGGGGACGAUGAUGACGGUACCCGUAGAAGAAGCCCCGGCUAACUUCGCGCCAGCAGCCGCGGUAA
rnacentral:rRNA from 1 species